rnacentral:rRNA from 1 species
CCCUUAGACGUUCUGGGCCGCACGCGCGCUACACUGACCAGUGCAACAAGCAUCCGUCCUUGGCCGACAGACCCGGGCAAUCUUUGAACGCUGGUCGUGAUGGGGAUAGACUUUUGCAAUUUUUGGUCUUCAACGAGGAAUUCCUAGUAAACGCAAGUCAUCAACUUGCAUUGAUUACGUCCCUGCCCUUUGUACACACCGCCCGUCGCACCUACCGAUUGAAUGGUCCGGUGAAGCCUCCGGAUUGGCGCGCACCUCGGUGCCGCCGAGAAGUUGGCUAAACCUUACCAUUUAGAGGAAGGUGAAGUCGUAACA